UCAGGUAUGGUGUAGCGGUAACAUCGCCGACUCUCAUAUUGAGCACUCAGUAGCCCGGGGUUCGACUCCCCGUAUCCGAG